CCUUAUGACAUAAAAAAAUCACUGAUAGAACUAAACAAAUUAAGAGACAAGAUUCCAAAUUUAAUCAAAACCGCUCAAAAUGCACAAAAAAUACAACACGAUAAAAAACACCGCUUAAUCAAAUUUCAACCUGGAGACUCAGUGUUAAUCUUAUUUCCAUUUAAUGAGGUAGGAAAAUCUCAAAAACUUGCUCCCAAAUAUAAAGGCCCCUUCAAAAUAAUAGACAAAAUAAAUGAUUUAAAUUAUAAAGUUGAAUUAACCCUUAACAAUAAAACGACUAAUGACAUAAUUCAUGUCAGAAGAAUGAAACCAUACAUUGAUAGAUAGAAAAAGUAGGCAGAUUAGAAUACGUUUAAAAAAAAAAAAAUAAUAAUAAUAAUAAUAAUUAUAACAAAUAAUACUAUAACAAAAUAUAAUAUAAUAACAUAUAUAUAUAUAUAUAUAUACACAUAAANAACCCUCAACAAUAAAACGACUAAUGACAUAAUUCAUGUCAGAAGAAUGAAACCAUACAUUAAUAGAUAGAAAAAGUAGG